UGUGGGAGCGGGCUUGCUCGCGAUAGCGGUGUAUCAGUCGACACUUGUAUUGACUGAUACACCGCUAUCGCGAGCAAGCCCGCUCCCACU
rnacentral:misc_RNA from 1 species